AGCAGGGUAGCCCAGUGGAAGCGUGCUAGGCCCAUAACCCAGAGGUUAAUUUAAUGGAUGGAAACCAUUUCUUGUUA